UACGAAGGGGGCUAGCGUUGCUCGGAAUGACUGGGCGUAAAGGGCGCGUAGGCGGCCUGUUAAGUCGAACGUGAAAUCCCCGGGCUCAACCCGGGAACUGCGUCCGAUACUGGCAGGCUUGAAUUCGGGAGAGGGAUGCGGAAUUCCAGGUGUAGCGGUGAAAUGCGUAGAUAUCUGGAGGAACACCGGUGGCGAAGGCAGCUCGCUGGGAC
rnacentral:rRNA from 1 species